CUGGGUGACCCUAGCGAGGGGGAGCCACCCGUUCCCAUCCCGAACAUCCGAAAGGCAAGGCACGGACAGGCGGCAGUUAAGCCCCUCAGCCCCGAUGGUACUGCACGCGCAAGUGUGUGGGAGAGUAGGAAGUUGCCCGGU
rnacentral:rRNA from 1 species